rnacentral:tRNA from 1 species
AGGGGAUUAGCUCAGAUGGUAGAGUGCUUGCUUCGCAUGCGAGAGGUAGUGGGAUCGAUGCUGCAUCCUCAA